UUCCCGUACGAUCACCGAAGUUAAGCAACGUCGAGCCUGGUCAGUACCUAGAUGGGCAACCGCUCGGGAAUACCAUGUGUUGUAAG
rnacentral:rRNA from 1 species